UAUUCGAAUAUGACUACAAUGAUAUUCAACAGUAGUCAUAUUCGAAAAAUACAUAAAUAUGACUAUAGUCAUGUUGCUGCUACUGUACAUAUUUGAACUGUAUUUUCAGAUUUGGAAAAAAAGAAAAAAGAAGGAGAAAUUGAAAAAUACAUAAAUAAAAAAAUUGAUAAAAAAUCAUUAUAUACAUAUAUAUCGACUCCACUAACUCAAGUAUGAUGAUAGGCUCCCUCUCUCUCUCUAAUAUUUAAACACACAGUCACAAUGAAAAAACCUUAAAUGCCAAAAGUAAUCAUGAGUUGCUGAGAAACUUCCAAGAACACGAAAACAGAAAGUAGCAAAAAAAAUCGAAUAGUCACAUUCGAACCAGACUGUAGUCACGUUGAUGUUGCUGCUUCAGAUCUGGAGAGAAAAAAAAAAAGAAAAAAAUCGAAAAUAUCGAAAGGAAGGUGGUGUGAUGUGUAGGAGGCGACAACAUGAGUUUUUUGGGAGGUUUGACACCGUAGCAAGUCUUGACGGCAUUCGAACCAGACUGUAGCAAAAAAAACUCGAAUAGUCACAUUCGAACCAGACUGUAGUCACGUUGAUGUUGCUGCUUCAGAUCUGGAGAGAAAAAAAAAA